rnacentral:lncRNA from 1 species
UCCAAUAUAUAAAAGCUUUUAUCUCAUGUGUUUUUAAUACACAUGUAGUAGUGGAGACCACGCAACCAACUUACUUAGUGUUUGGUCCCAAUCCAGUCAUCUCAUCAUCUAACUUAUUUCUUUCCAUAUGUUGAAUAUACAUAUUUAUUACUAAGGAUUAUUAAAGGGGAAAAAAAACUAAUCUAUUAUCGUAUAAUUGUUUUAAGAAAAGGAAAAAAGAUAAAACAACUGAAAGAGGAAGCCCAGCAGCAGUGCUCCUGCUCAUCAUUUCGCAGCUUCCAACCAUCAUCUCAGAAAUAGAAAAAUAACUCUUUCAAACUAAAAUAAAAUAUAACUAAGCAACAAGCUGGAUCUCAAGAUUAAACAGCAAACCCAACCUCUGUGUUAUAAAAAAGAAUCAAAAGACAAAUAUGUAAAGAUCAGCUUCAUAGCCUUAAUGUAUUGAGUACCAUCUCAGAGUUGAGAUAUCAUUUCUCACUGCCGCGUCCUUUGCAGCUAUAAACCCAGAGUCGCACGACUAGGCUUAUUUGUCGCCUAAUCUUUAUGAUUACCCCCAGCAAUUAUCAGGAGAAAUAGGACCGAGGGAGGAUCCACGCACGGUUGAGACACCAAGAAAAAGAACUCUUUCCCUCCAACUACAAUUAAAACCCACGAGCCCAGAAUCUGAGUGGAUGACGCCCACAGUGGGCAGGAAGAACCGACAAAGGAAACAGGAUAAUUAAGAAGCAAUUAUGCACUGAAGCGGUCAUAUCACAUGCAAUCAAUU